rnacentral:rRNA from 1 species
UACGAAGGGGGCUAGCGUUGCUCGGAAUCACUGGGCGUAAAGCGCACGUAGGCGGCUUCUUAAGUCAGGGGUGAAAUCCUGGAGCUCAACUCCAGAACUGCCUUUGAUACUGAGAAGCUUGAGUCCGGGAGAGGUGAGUGGAACUGCGAGUGUAGAGGUGAAAUUCGUAGAUAUUAGGAAGAACACCAGUGGCGAAGGCGGCUCACUGGUCCGGUACUGACGCUGAGGUGCGAAAGCGUGGGGAGCAAACAGG